rnacentral:rRNA from 1 species
UACAGAGGUCCCAAGCGUUGUUCGGAAUUACUGGGCGUAAAGGGCGCGUAGGCGGCCGAUCAAGUCAGGCGUGAAAUUCCCGGGCUCAACCUGGGGGCUGCGCUUGAUACUGAUUGGCCUGAAUGCGGGAGAGGAUAGUGGAAUUCCCAGUGUAGAGGUGAAAUUCGUAGAUAUUGGGAAGAACACCGGUGGCGAAGGCGGCUAUCUGGCCCGUAAUUGACGCUGAGGCGCGAAAGCGUGGGGAGCAAACAGG